UUGGUUCUGUUGAAAAUGACUCAUGAUUUGAACUUCAAUGUUUCUAUUGUUAUUAUGAUAUUGCCCUAACAAUCCGUUAAAUCUUUCAAAAGAGAAGCACCAGAAUGUUGUGUUUGUAAAGUAUCCAUUCAUAACAGAGUUAAGGCCAUUAUGUCAGUGACGUAAGGGAAUGCAACCAAUGACAUUACAGUAUCAUUCGCGCGAACACAAUUUAAAUUGUCGGCAUUGUGUAUGGAAGUCAUUUUUUGCGAAUUGCGACUUGGUGAAACUGACUAUUGUUUGUGAUGGCGUGUAAAAGAAACCUGAGUUUUACUACCCCCGUGAGUAAUAGGGCUUUGCAACCAGCAGCAAGCACACUGAGCAUAAAUGUUUUAAUGAAACAGCUGAUCUCCGGUCAGAACGCUUUGUCUCGUCAGCUUGAGGGUUUGAUGGAGAAGCAAGCUGCAAACACUGUUCUUCUCGAAGAUGCUAUCCAGUGUCUUUGUGCUCUUGAGCGAAAGUUUGACGAGCAAAGACCGCAAGAGGAACAAAGACCGCUGGAAGAGCCAUUACAUAAAAGGAUAAAGAAGGGCGCACAACGUGGGCAUUGCGGAAGCUGUAAGGCGCCUUCACAAUUCGGAAAACAACCCACAUAAAUAUGAUCCACAAACUGGAAUAAGUUCGCCUGGUAACCAAGCAGUCAUGACUUAUCUGCUAGAGGAAUUGAAAACAACUUUUGCAGAUGCA